rnacentral:rRNA from 1 species
UACGUAGGGUGCAAGCGUUGUCCGGAAUUAUUGGGCGUAAAGAGCUCGUAGGCGGUUUGUCGCGUCGGCUGUGAAAACCCGAGGCUCAACCUCGGGCCUGCAGUCGAUACGGGCAAACUAGAGUGUGGUAGGGGAGACUGGAAUUCCUGGUGUAGCGGUGAAAUGCGCAGAUAUCAGGAGGAACACCGGCGGCGAAGGCGGCUUGCUGGGCCUUACCUGACGCUGAGGAGCGAAAGCGUGGGGAGCGAACAGG